UUGCUUCAGCAGCACGUACACUGAAAUUGAAACAACACAGAGAAGAUUAGCAUGGCCCCUGCACAUGGAUGACACGAAAAUUUAUUCCAUAUUAAAAAAAUUC
ensembl:snRNA U6 U6 spliceosomal RNA